rnacentral:rRNA from 1 species
UGACUUGUGGCUGGGGGUGAAAGGCCAAUCAAACCGGGAGAUAGCUGGUUCUCCCCGAAAGCUAUUUAGGUAGCGCCUCGUGAAUUCAUCUCCGGGGGUAGAGCACUGUUUCGGCAAGGGGGUCAUCCCGACUUACCAACCCGAUGCAAACUGCGAAUACCGGAGAAUGUUAUCACGGGAGACACACGGCGGGUGCUAACGUCCGUCGUGAAGAGGGAAACAACCCAGACCGCCAGCUAAGGUCCCAAAGUCAUGGUUAAGUGGGAAACGAUGUGGGAAGGCCCAGACAGCCAGGAUGUUGGCUUAGAAGCAGCCAUCAUUUAAAGAAAGCGUAAUAGCUCACUGGUCGAGUCGGCCUGCGCGGAAGAUGUAACGGGGCUAAACCAUGCACCGAAGCUGCGGCAGCGACACUAUGUGUUGUUGGGUAGGGGAGCGUUCUGUAAGCCUGUGAAGGUGGCCUGUGAGGGUUGCUGGAGGUAUCAGAAGUGCGAAUGCUGACAUAAGUAACGAUAAAGCGGGUGAAAAGCCCGCUCGCCGGAAGACCAAGGGUUCCUGUCCAACGUUAAUCGGGGCAGGGUGAGUCGACCCCUAAGGCGAGGCCGAAAGGCGUAGUCGAUGGGAAACAGGUUAAUAUUCCUGUACUUGGUGUUACUGCGAAGGGGGGACGGAGAAGGCUAUGUUGGCCGGGCGACGGUUGUCCCGGUUUAAGCGUGUAGGCUGGUUUUCCAGGCAAAUCCGGAAAACCAAGGCUGAGGCGUGAUGACGAGGCACUACGGUGCUGAAGCGACAAAUGCCCUGCUUCCAGGAAAAGCCUCUAAGCAUCAGGUAACAUCAAAUCGUACCCCAAACCGACACAGGUGGUCAGGUAGAGAAUACCAAGGCGCUUGAGAGAACUCGGGUGAAGGAACUAGGCAAAAUGGUGCCGUAACUUCGGGAGAAGGCACGCUGAUAUGUAGGUGAAGCGACUUGCUCGUGGAGCUGAAAUCAGUCGAAGAUACCAGCUGGCUGCAACUGUUUAUUAAAAACACAGCACUGUGCAAACACGAAAGUGGACGUAUACGGUGUGACGCCUGCCCGGUGCCGGAAGGUUAAUUGAUGGGGUUAGCGGUAACGCGAAGCUCUUGAUCGAAGCCCCGGUAAACGGCGGCCGUAACUAUAACGGUCCUAAGGUAGCGAAAUUCCUUGUCGGGUAAGUUCCGACCUGCACGAAUGGCGUAAUGAUGGCCAGGCUGUCUCCACCCGAGACUCAGUGAAAUUGAACUCGCUGUGAAGAUGCAGUGUACCCGCGGCAAGACGGAAAGACCCCGUGAACCUUUACUAUAGCUUGACACUGAACAUUGAGCCUUGAUGUGUAGGAUAGGUGGGAGGCUUUGAAGUGUGGACGCCAGUCUGCAUGGAGCCGACCUUGAAAUACCACCCUUUAAUGUUUGAUGUUCUAACGUUGGCCCGUAAUCCGGGUUGCGGACAGUGUCUGGUGGGUAGUUUGACUGGGGCGGUCUCCUCCUAAAGAGUAACGGAGGAGCACGAAGGUUGGCUAAUCCUGGUCGGACAUCAGGAGGUUAGUGCAAUGGCAUAAGCCAGCUUGACUGCGAGCGUGACGGCGCGAGCAGGUGCGAAAGCAGGUCAUAGUGAUCCGGUGGUUCUGAAUGGAAGGGCCAUCGCUCAACGGAUAAAAGGUACUCCGGGGAUAACAGGCUGAUACCGCCCAAGAGUUCAUAUCGACGGCGGUGUUUGGCACCUCGAUGUCGGCUCAUCACAUCCUGGGGCUGAAGUAGGUCCCAAGGGUAUGGCUGUUCGCCAUUUAAAGUGGUACGCGAGCUGGGUUUAGAACGUCGUGAGACAGUUCGGUCCCUAUCUGCCGUGGGCGCUGGAGAACUGAGGGGGGCUGCUCCUAGUACGAGAGGACCGGAGUGGACGCAUCACUGGUGUUCGGGUUGUCAUGCCAAUGGCACUGCCCGGUAGCUAAAUGCGGAAGAGAUAAGUGCUGAAAGCAUCUAAGCACGAAACUUGCCCCGAGAUGAGUUCUCCCUGACUCCUUGAGGGUCCUGAAGGAACGUUGAAGACGACGACGUUGAUAGGCCGGGUGUGUAAGCGCAGCGAUGCGUUGAGCUAACCGGUACUAAUGAACCGUGAGGCUUAACCUU